GUCGUAUCGAUUCGAUCGGGAUAGUCAUCAAAUAAAACAGAAAACCCGAGACCGCUUCCUUCAAGUCAAUGGCGGGCCACAUAAAUCGCAUCUCCGCGACUAAGCCGCAAGGCCGGUGGAUUACAAACGACAAGGAGCACUCAUAUCGUUUAUACUCGGACUUUUCAUCACAUCGUCGGUACGACUUCUU
rnacentral:sRNA from 1 species